rnacentral:tRNA from 1 species
AGGCUUAGGAUAAACUAAACCAGUGACCUUCAAAGCCACAAACAAGAGUUAAAAACUCUUAGCCCCUG